rnacentral:rRNA from 1 species
AUUGAACGCUGGCGGCAUGCCUAACACAUGCAAGUCGAGCGGAUGAAGGGAGCUUGCUCCUGGAUUCAGCGGCGGACGGGUGAGUAAUGCCUAGGAAUCUGCCUGGUAGUGGGGGAUAACGUCCGUAAACGGGCGCUAAUACCGCAUACGUCCUGAGGUAGAACGUGGGGGAUCUUCGGACCUCACGCUAUCAGAUGAGCCUAGGUCGGAUUAGCUAGUUGGUGGGGUAAAGGCCUACCAAGGCGACGAUCCGUAACUGGUCUGAGAGGAUGAUCAGUCACACUGGAACUGAGACACGGUCCAGACUCCUACGGGAGGCAGCAGUGGGGAAUAUUGGACAAUGGGCGAAAGCCUGAUCCAGCCAUGCCGCGUGUGUGAAGAAGGUCUUCGGAUUGUAAAGCACUUUAAGUUGGGAGGAAGGGCAGUAAGUUAAUACCUUGCUGUUUUGACGGUACCAACAGAAUAAGCACCGGCUAACUUCGUG